GUUGUGGUAAAUUGACGUAUAGUUUUCGAUGUAGAAAAAAUAAGCCAUGGACUUGGAAACAAUAUGUCAACUUUUUCAACCCUACAGCAAACAAAAUUGCAACUUUAUCGGCAUCUACAUUUCACCAGGAUUAUAAACAGAGUACCGAAAUAAUCACAGGAGAGGCUUCUCCCUCUAAUUUGUGGGACAAUCGGUGGUGGUGGAAUUAUGAAGUGAAUCAGUACGAUACCGAACCUCCGGCUCUGACAAACGCCAACU